rnacentral:piRNA from 1 species
UGAGAUGUGAUUCUCUGCAAUAAUGACCCACU